UACGUAGGGGGCGAGCGUUGUCCGGAUCUACUGGGCGUAAAGCGCGCGCAGGCGGUUCGUUAAGUCCGUUGUGAAAGCUCCCGGCUCAACUGGGAGAGGUCUUCGGAAACUGGCGGACUCGAGGGAGGCAGAGGAAGGUGGAAUUCCCGGUGUAGUGGUGAAAUGCGUAGAGAUCGGGAGGAACACCAGUGGCGAAGGCGGCCUUCUGGGCCUUUCCUGACGCUGAGGCGCGAAAGCGUGGGGAGCGAACCGG
rnacentral:rRNA from 1 species